UUCGCUUCUCGGACUUUUGGCUAAGAUCAAGUGUAGUAUCAGUUCUUGGGUGAGAAGUGAAACAUCUUCAAGGAAAAAGAAGGUCUAGCUAACUUUUGAAAAAACACCUUUGGGUUAAUGCUGAUGGGAUUUGAGUGGAGCUCCAGAUGUUUUGGAAUUGUACCUAAGGCACUUAGUAGUAUUGAUAUUACCUUUUC